GCCUUUUUGAUAUUACCACUGAAACGGUUCGAUCUCUUAUACUUACAUAUUUUCAUUUUUCUUGAAAUCUGAUCUCCUGUUUGUUUGUAUGCUGAGAAAAGUAGAGGAAAUAAGAAAAGAAACGACUUUUAUUAGCCUUUAUUAUUGAUUUAUUUAAUGCGAGGAAAUUGAUUCAAAUCUAGGUGAAUAGUUUAGUAUGGAUCGGCUGAUCUGAG
rnacentral:misc_RNA from 1 species